rnacentral:rRNA from 1 species
AGAGUUUGAUCCUGGCUCAGGAUGAACGCUGGCGGCGUGUCUAAGGCAUGCAAGUCGAAUGCAUUUAGGUGCAUGGCAAACGGGAGAGUAACGCAUUGGUAACCUACCUCUAACUCAGGAAUAACCCACCGAAAGGUGGAAUAAUACCUGAUAGUCUCAACAGUCAUAUGGUUGUUGAGUAAAGAUUUAUCGGUUAGAGAGGGGCCUAUGGCCUAUCAGCUUGUUGGUGAGAUAACAGCUCACCAAGGCUAUGACGGGUAGCGGGUGUGAGAGCAUGACCCGCCUCAAAGGAACUGAGACACUGUCCUUACUCCUACGGGAGGCUGCAGUCAAGAAUCUUCCCCAAUGGACGAAAGUCUGAGGGAGCGACGCCGCGUGAAUGAAGAAGCCCUUCGGGGUGUAAAAUUCUUUUAUUAGGGACGAACAAAUGACGGUACCUAAUGAAUAAGGGGCUGCUAACCUCGUGCCAGCAGCAGCGGUAAUACGAGGGCCCCGAGCGUUAUCCGGAAUUAUUGGGCGUAAAGCGUCCGCAGGCGGUCUAUUAAGUUAAUCGUUAAAUUUCAGAGCUCAACUCUGAAACCGCGAUUAAUACUGAUAGACUAGAGGCUGGGAGAGGCAUGUGGAAUUGCCGGUGUAGUAGUAAAAUGCGUUAAUAUCGGCAAGAACACCAAAUGCGAAGGCAUCAUGCUGGAACAGUCCUGACGCUCAGGGACGAAAGCGUGGGUAGCGAAUGGGAUUAGAUACCCCAGUAGUCCACGCCGUAAACGAUGGAUACUAGGCAUUGGAAGUGUCGACCCUUUCACUGUCGUUUAUAUAAGCUACGCGUUAAGUAUCCCGCCUGGGGAGUACGGCCGCAAGGCUAAAACUCAAAGGAAUUGACGGGAACCCGCACAAGCGGUGGAGCACGCGGUUUAAUUCGAUGAUAAGCGAGGAACCUUACCAAGACUUGACAUCUAGCUGCAAAGCCUAGGAGACUAGGCCGCCUACGAGGGUGCUAGACAGGUGCUGCAUGGUUGUCGUCAGCUCGUGACGUGAGUUGUACGGUUAAGUCCGGUAACGAGCGCAACCCUUAUCCUGUGUUAAAUUUCUCACAGGAAACUGCCACGUACAACGUGGAGGAAGGUGAGGAUGACGUCAAAUCAGCAUGGCUCUUACGUCUUGGGCCACAUGCAUGCUACAAUGGUCAGUACAAUGAGUUGCUAAGCCGUAAGGUGGAGCUAAUCUCAUCAAAACUGGUCUCAGUUCGGAUUGAGGUCUGCAACCCGACCUCAUGAAGCUGGAAUCGCUAGUAAACGCGAAUCAGCCAUGUCGCGUUGAAUACGUUCUCGGGUUUUGUACACACCGCCCGUCACACCAAGAGAGUCGGUAAUACCCGAACCACGUAUUAGUACGUGGGAAGGUAGGAUCGAUGAUAGGGGUGAAGUCGUAACAAGGCA